rnacentral:rRNA from 1 species
GACCUUGGUGAGUGGCGGACGGGUGAGUAACACGUGGGUAACCUGCCCAGAAGUGGGGGAUAACAUUUGGAAACAAGUGCUAAUACCGCAUAACAACAUUUAUCUCAUGAUUUAUGUUUAAAAGAUGGUUCUGCUAUCUCUUCUGGAUGGACCCGCGGCGUAUUAGCUAGUUGGUGAGGUAAUAGCUCACCAAGGCGAUGAUACGUAGCCGACCUGAGAGGGUAAUCGGCCACAUUGGGACUGAGACACGGCCCAAACUCCUACGGGAGGCAGCAGUAGGGAAUCUUCCACAAUGGACGAAAGUCUGAUGGAGCAACGCCGCGUGAGUGAAGAAGGUUUUCGGAUCGUAAAACUCUGUUGUUGAAGAAGAACAUAUGUGAGAGUAACUGUUCACGUACUGACGGUAUUCAACCAGAAAGCCACGGCUAACUACGUGCCAGCAGCCGCGGUAAUACGUAGGUGGCAAGCGUUGUCCGGAUUUAUUGGGC